rnacentral:rRNA from 1 species
CUGGCGGCGGCUUACACAUGCAGUCGAGCGGUAACAGGAGAAGCUUGCUUCUCGCUGACGAGCGGCGGACGGGUGAGUAAUACUUAGGAAUCUACCUAGUAGUGGGGGAUAGCACGGGGAAACUCGUAUUAAUACCGCAUACGACCUACGGGAGAAAGGGGGCAGUUUACUGCUCUCGCUAUUAGAUGAGCCUAAGUCGGAUUAGCUAGAUGGUGGGGUAAAGGCCUACCAUGGCGACGAUCUGUAGCUGGUCUGAGAGGAUGAUCAGCCACACCGGGACUGAGACACGGCCCGGACUCCUACGGGAGGCAGCAGUGGGGAAUAUUGGACAAUGGGGGAAACCCUGAUCCAGCCAUGCCGCGUGUGUGAAGAAGGCCUUUUGGUUGUAAAGCACUUUAAGCAGUGAAGAAGACUCCAUGGUUAAUACCCAUGGACGAUGACAUUAGCUGCAGAAUAAGCACCGGCUAACUCUGUGCCAGCAGCCGCGGUAAU